rnacentral:tRNA from 1 species
AGUCCUGUAGUGAGUGUCACGUCAAAUUGCAAAUUUGAAAAAGUUCCUAUUUGGUUCCAGGGCUU